AGGGAUCAGAGUUCCGUUCUGGAUCGUCUCUCUGUGGGCUGGAGGAGCUUUACGACCUUCUGCCGUAGAUUCACCUGUGGAGCUGAGAGUAUUAAAUUAUCAGAGGAGGAGACCGAACCUGCUGUGCCACCUUCUGCCACAGAUUCAUCUGUGAAGGUGACAGUGUUCAAUUCGGACUGAGUUCAGUUCGUCCGUUCUGCUGCCCAUCCAACUUCUGAUGGCUUUAACACAGACACCCUCCUCAGCAACUAUUA